rnacentral:tRNA from 1 species
GGAGACAUGGCUCAAUGGUAGAGUGCCUGCCUAGCAAGCAUGAGGCCCUGAGUACAACUUUUAGUACUACUA